UGGGAGGCAGAUACCUGGGCAGUGCUGAGUUGUGCGCUGUCCACCACUGGCUCUCCCUACAGCAUCCUUGCUCUCUGAUGACCGGGGCGAAUUGAGUGAAAUCGUCACGGACAGAUACGGAGCAGACAACA